UACGUAGGGGGCAAGCGUUGUCCGGAUUUAUUGGGCGUAAAGAGCGUGUAGGCGGCCGCACAGGUCCGUUGUGAAAACUGGAGGCUUAACCUUCAGACGUCGAUGGAAACCGUGCGGCUAGAGUCCGGAAGAGGAGAAUGGAAUUCCUGGUGUAGCGGUGAAAUGCGCAGAUAUCAGGAGGAACACCGAUGGCGAAGGCAGGUCUCUGGGCAUUAACUGACGCUGAGGAGCGAAAGCAUGGGGAGCGAACAGG
rnacentral:rRNA from 1 species